rnacentral:rRNA from 1 species
CUGAUGCAGCAACGCCGCGUGAGGUAUGAAGGCCUUUGGGUUGUAGAGCCUCUGUCCUAGGGGAAGAAAAAAAUGACGGUACCCGAGGAGGAAGCCCCGGCUAACUACGUGCCAGCAGCCGCGGUAAUACGUAGGGGGCAAGCGUUAUCCGGAAUUAUUGGGCGUAAAGAGUGCGUAGGUGGUCUACUAAGCGCGAGGUGAAGGGCAAUGGCUCAACCGUUGUUAGCCUUGUGAACUGGCAGACUUGAGUGCAAGAGAGGAAAGCGGAAUUCCUAGUGUAGCGGUGAAAUGCGCAGAUAUUAGGAGGAACACCGGCGGCGAAGGCGGCUUUCUGGAUUGUAACUGACACUGAGGCACGAAAGCGUGGGUAGCAAACAGGAUUAGAUACCCUGGUAGUCCACGCCGUAAACGAUGAGCACUAGGUGUCGGGACACGAGUCUCGGUGCCGCAGUUAACGCAAUAAGUGCUCCGCCUGGGGAGUACGCACGCAAGUGUAAAACUCAAAGGAAUUGACGGGGACCCGCACAAGCAGCGGAGCAUGUGGUUUAAUUCGAAGCA